ACGGACAAAACUCCUUGAGCUUUCACGGGAUCUGUCGAUGGUUCUCGACGACCUCCUAUGGCUGGAGCGGCAGGGGCUGAGUUUUCCAUUGAAAACUUGUGUUGAUUCUAAGUGAUUUAGAACAGAACUUAAAAAAUCAGAAAAUACACAACAGAUGCUUUCUAACUUGUCGCUAAGUGAAGCUAUUGAUCAAACAGUAGUGGAAAACUAAAUUAUCCCGUUCGAAGUAAUCUUAAGUAAUCAUAAUAUUGUAAAUUCAAAAAAUAAAUUUGCUUAAAAAUAAGUUAAAGAUUAUAGAAUUAAUUAAAAAAUUUAACUGACAAAAAAGUCAGUGAAAAUAUUCUGCCUAUUUCUGUCGGGAGGCCACUCCGCGCUCCAAUCCGAACGAUUGGACUGUCAUUUUUUUAUUGCAUAAGUGAGUGAGGAAAAAAAACGCGGGAAACCUUUGAAUUUGGCGGGCGCGGUUUUUGUUUGAAUUUGUUGAAAAAUAUUUUUUUUUAAUCUAUUAAGUGAUCAGAAUAGUUAAAACUUGUAUAUAUUUGUAAUUUUUAUUAUUAUUUAAAUUUUUUUGUAUUUUAUUCUUUUUUUCUUCGAGUUGGGGUAAGUUUUUUAUAUUUAUAUGAACGAGCCUCCGGACCCGGGGGGCACAGCGCCCCCCGCGGUUGCAUUUGUCACAAUCUCCAACGAAUCCGGAAUGGAUUCUGACUGCUCUUUGGUGUCUAAAAGGAAGCUGAAGCGUAACCAGCUCCACAAAAUUUGUAAAAAUUGUAACAAAAGGAAAAGAAAAAAUAAUACAGAAACAUUUAAACAAUCGGACUGUCAAUGCAAAGACGAAUUUACUGAGAGCACUAUUGAUUUGCCUGCACCUGGUCCUUGCACUGAUACAUCUUCAAAGCCCGUUCCUCCCACUGAUAUGUCUCAUAAAGCCUCCACACAAAUUGGUAGGGCUAGUUAUGAUGCCAAUGACCACGGCCCGUUUGUGGUACACGUGCAGAAAAUACAGUCUGCUGAUGAUGAUGGUACAACAUUACACCCAGUUGUGUUUGGCAGAUUUUUAAAAAAAAAUUUUUUCAAAAAUAUUGUUAACGGAAGUUUGAAACGUAUUGGCCGAAAUAAAAUGACACUUUCUUUUAAUAAUUAUACAGACGCUAACAGCUUUGUCACUUCAAACUGCUUAGCUACAAACAACAUGAAGGCUUUUAUCCCAACUUUUAACAUUAUGAGGAUGGGUUUAGUUAGGGGAGUCCCAACUGAGUGGUCCCCUGAAGAUAUUAUGCAGAACACUAAUGUACCCAUUGGGUGUGGGGAAAUUCUGAAAAUUAGAAGACUAAACUAUAAAGUCAUGAUAAACAACACACCCACAUGGAAACCUUCGCAAACAGUCGUGUUUACAUUUGAUGGACAAGUUUUGCCCAAACGUGUAUUUAUGUGUUAUAAUUCUAUGCCUGUUAAAUUGUAUAUAUACCCAACCAUCCAGUGCUUUAAUUGUUGCCGCUUUGGGCACACCAAGGUCCAAUGUAGGUCAAAGCCCAGGUGCUUCAAGUGUGGUCAGGGCCACACUGGAGAUACUUGUAAUGUGGAGGAAGACUGUGUAUCUUGCUGCUUAUGUUCUGGGCUGCACUUUGCUUCGAGCAAAAAGUGUCCAGAGUACGUGAGACAAACAGAUAUUAAAGUAACAAUGGCAGAGAAUAGCUUAUCCUAUAUUGAAGCGUCAAAAUUACAUCCCCCCAUUUCUAAAUCAUUUGCUGAUAUUGUAUCCUCUCUCCCAACUAAAUCUGUUCCUGGUGGAAAUACAGUAUUGCCUGGUUCACCAUCCUCACGUACAAUAUCUUAUAAAAAAACAGUCUUCACUAAACCCAGAACUCCUCCUCAACACAGUAAAGGUUUUGAUCAUGUAGCACAUGAGUCUCUUGUAAGGGACUACAAUAUGCCAGAGCCUUCUAAUGGAUGUGCAUUACCAUCCUCGUCUAAUGCAAAUUCACAACAGACAAUAGCAGAGUUAAUUACUAUAUUGAUCAAAUUACUUUCUGAACCCAAUUUAUCUAUACCGUCCCACGCUGCUAAUUUAAUUCGUACUUAUACUAAUAUUAAUAAUGGCCAACAUGGACAAGUUAGUUCAAUGGAAUUGCCGCAGUAUUAUAAACAAAAAGCAUGAAAUUAUACAUAUUAUAAAUACUUUUAAUCCUUUUAUAUUUUCUCUAUCUGAAACCUGGCUAAAGCCAGAUUUUGUAUUCAAAAUCCCUGGUUAUUCGUGCUUAAGAGAAGACAGGGCUGAUGGAUAUGGUGGUGUAUGCCUACUCAUCAGAAACUCUAGCACCUUUUCUUCCUUCCCUCUCCCUUCACAUAGUAACUGCUUUUCUGUCAUUGCAGCUAUUGUUGAUGGUAUCUGUUUUGUCUCUAUCUAUGUCCCUCAUCCCUCCUUGCAAAUCUUCAAUGAAAUUAAAAACUUCAUUUCAGUUCUUCCUCGGCCUUUCAUGAUUCUGGGUGAUUUCAACUCUCAUCACACAUCUUGGGGUAGUUCAGUAUCUAAUAGUUAUGGUUAUGAAUUAUUAGAUAUCUUAGACAUGUAUAGCCUGUGCAUUUUAAACUCGGGUUCUCCUACUCGCCUCACAAAGCCUGGUGAAGUAAUUAGUGCCAUUGAUCUGUCCAUUUGUACUCCCCAGUUAGCAUCUUCUCUAUCUUGGUCUACUUUGUGUUCCACUUAUAAUAGUGAUCACUAUCCCAUAAUCAUUUCAUUUCCCUGUAAAAAAAAGGAUACAAUGUGUAUUCAAAACUCUCGCCUCAAACACAAAAUCAUAGACUCUAAAUGGAGUCAAUACACGUUAUUAAUAGAAGAGAAAAUUAAUAAUUGCUCAGAAGUUAAUGUCAUAGAUAAUAAUUAUUUCAAAGCUAUUUUGUUAGAAUCGGCUGAUAAUGUUUUUCCAAAGAAAAAGCCGUGUAGUAAUAAGUUGUCAUCUCCACCGUGGUGGGAUGAAGAAUGUACCAAUGCUAUAAAGAAACGCAAGGCAGCAGAGCGUAAUUAUCACAAUAAUAUGUCUAUGAAAAACUACGAGGCAUUAAUGACUAUAAUGAAAGAGGUUAGAAAACUAUUUAAAAAAAAGAAAUUUGACGGGUGGAGGAAAUUUUGUAGCACUAUAUCACCUGAAACACAUGCUACUGUCAUAUGGCGAAAUAUCAAAAGAUUUAGAUCAGCUGUCAAUCCUUCUAACGCAUUGUUGCUGCCUAUAGAAUUAGCAGAUCAAUUCCUUGAUCGUUUGGCUCCUCCUUCUGCUCCACUCAACGAUCCUAUCCUGUCUUAUAAGCAAUAUAACUCUGAUGCCCCUUCUUCUCUAAAUCUAACUUUUACGUUAGGGGAGUUAAAAGGUGUAUUAAAUCACGUCAAAGACAGUGCUCCAGGGGAAGAUGGGAUUCCAUAUUCCUUUUUGUCUCACCUUGGCGAAAAAGGAUUAAAUUACUUUUUAAAUUUAAUAAAUAAAAUUUUACUGACAGGUGACAUUCCACCGUCAUGGCGAAGUCAAAUAGUAUUGCCAUUUUUAAAGCCGUCUAAGGUACAAUCUGAUAUCAAAUCAUAUCGUCCGAUAGUUUUGUCAUCGGUGAUCACAAAAGUUGUUGAACAUUUAAUUAAAAAUCGGCUUGAAUGGUAUAUAGAAAAUAACGAAUAUCUGUCCCAAACUCAGUUUGGAUUUCGAAAAGGUAAAAGUGUGGGGGACAAUUUAGGCAUAUUAGUUACGGAUAUUCGUAAUGCUUUCUCAGAUAAAAAGUCAGUAGUUGCUGCUUUUUUGGAUAUUAAUUCGGCUUAUGAUAACGUUCUAUUACAUAUUCUAAAAAGUAAAUUAGAUAAAUUAAAGGUUCCCUAUUUUUUAACUAAUUCCAUUGUAAAUCUUCUUUCGGAGAGGAAAAUUAUUUUAGAUGUUGGCGGCCCUUAUAAGCCUAGUAGGCUGGUAUGGAGAGGUUUGCCACAGGGGUCUGUUCUGAGUCCUUUAUUGUACAAUAUUUAUACAUAUGAUCUAGAAGGUUCAGUCGGAGAUUCAGCAAGUUUAUUACAGUAUGCCGAUGACUUGGUUAUUUAUGCCUCUGAUAUGUCUGUAAGUACUGCUGAACGAUAUGUUUCCUCCUCUUUAUCUUUGCUAAAAAUCUGGAUGGAUGCAAAUGGCCUUGAUCUGUCUCCCUCAAAAAGUACUGUUGUACUUUUCACCAAAUCCCGUACUCCUUGCUCACUUAAUAUAACAUAUGAUGGGGAUAUAUUACCCAUUAGGAAUCAAGUUAAGUUCUUAGGAGCUAUUCUUGAUUCUAAACUAACGGGUCAACCACACUGCGAAUUUGUGGUUAGUAAAUGUGAGCGAAACUUGAACAUGCUGAGAUGUCUCGGUGGGGUUUGGUGGGGUGCUCACCCGGCUACACUGAGGUUGGUGUAUAAUGCUGUCAUUAGAAGUGUACUGGAUUUUGGGACCUUUUUCUUAGACCCAGGUAAUGUGGCUGGCUUUAGAAAACUAGAUCUCAUACAGUCUAGGGCUUUGAGGAUUGUUUCUGGUGCCAUGAAAUCGAGUCCGGUUAAUGCUCUGCAAAUAGAAUGUUGUGACCCUCCUUUAAACUUAAGACGUCAAUAUCUGUCCGAUAGAUUCAUUUUUAGAAUUGUUCAGUUCCAUAAUCAUCCCCUCAUUUCGAAACUAGAGUUUCUUUCUAAAAAAGUACCCUCUUCACAUAAACCUUUACCUUGUCUGUUAAAAAGUUUCCUGAAAUUCAAACAAUUACAAGCCCCAACUCAUUCUUUUCAGGUGCUUCCUUUAUUUGGCGCUUCUUAUGAUUCUCUCUUACUUUCUCCAGUGAUUUGCUUUUCUCUUGGCAUUGAAAAAUCUGAUUUUAAUGCCAAUGAAAAUUUUAAUUGCAAUGUCAAUAGUAAAUGGCCUAACUGGCAUCAAAUUUAUACAGAUGCAUCUAAACACUCCAGUGGGUGUGUUGGUGUUGGAGUGUAUCACAAACAGUACAACAUAGUUCAGAAAAUUAAAUUACCUCCGGAAUCAUCGGUCUUUACCGGUGAAUGUUUUGGACUAUUAAAAGCUCUUGAAUAUGUGCUGUCUUUCAAACUAAAAAAAACCGUUAUAUUUACUGAUUCCUUAAGUGCAUUACAGAGCUUAGCAAAAUUUUCACUAAAACUUAACCCUUUUUUUCAUGUAAUAUUUGAAUGUAAGAGAAAGCUGUUGCACUGCCAAUCACACAACUAUUUAGUAUCAUUUUGUUGGGUACCUAGUCACUGUGGCAUAUCUGGAAAUGUGAAAGCUGACAGUUUGGCCAACAGUGCUACUGUGACCGGUGACGUAUACCCGUACAAGAAUUUUGGCCAUGAUCUUGCUGCUUUGCCCGGCAUAUGCCUCCACAAAUCGUGGAAUAUGUGUUGGGAAGAGAGCGGCCGGAUUAAGGGUCGUUUCUUGUAUGCUAUACAGUCUUCCGUUCCCAGGAAGCCAUGGUUUGCCAAAUUGUCGUUUGGUAAAACCGCCACUUCUACUAUAAUUCGUAUGCGUCUGGGACAUAACAGCCUUCCAGUUCAUUUGCACAAACUUGGUAUCGUAACUAGUACCGCCUGUGAGUGUGGCGAGAGUUAUUGUGACCUGAAUCAUAUUUUCUUUUCUUGUUCUUUAUAUGAUCAUUCUUCCUUAUAUACUUCUUUAGUAUCUCUCUCUGUUCCCCUUCCUACUAAUAUUUCUUUACUUCUUCGAGAUUUUAAUCCCCUUGUAUAUAGUAUUUUAAGUAGGUUUAUAUUAAAUAAUAACAUUAAACUAUAAUUUUGAUUUAUUUUCCCUGUUAUAUAAUUAUUCUGAUUUUUUUUGUAAAUUCAAUUCGUUCUAAAUCAUUUAUGUUUUGUUGCGAUAAGUUUCCUUCGUUUUUUAUUAUUUAUAAACUGUAAAUAAAUAAAACGGCGAAUUAUAAAAACGUUAUUACUUGACGCUGGCUAAUGCACAAAACGUGCCAGAGCCAAAAAUAAAGAAGAAGAAGAAGAAGUGAGUGAGAGACAACCAUAGAGUUACUACUACUUAUUAACUCCAUGGAGACAACCAUAGAGUUAUAGGUACUUAUUAACUCCAUGGAGACAACACAAUGUGUAUGCCGUCAUGAAACAUAAAGGUCAUUUUCAAUUUUAUUGUAUAGAGGAUGUCCGAUCCGUAUAGUGGAAUAGAAUAAUAAUAUCCGUUAGUCGUCAGUGACUACGAUAAUUGUAUAGUAUUCGGAAAUAAUAUAAUGAGAAUAAAAAUGCGAUAUUAAACCGUAAAACUGGUUUUAGUUCUAUAUACAACUUUAUGUGCACAAUAACCCGAAGUGUGUCUCGGCCUCCGACAUCAGAGAACGCCAUCGAUGAGUCAGAAACAGACUGCACAAUUCAGACUCCCUAUAACUAGUUGGCUUUUUUUUUCAUUUCUUAUUAAGGCUUUCCCAACUCUUCAAAUUUGAACGCAUUACUGCUUCGCGGCUUAAUUUACUAAUGUCUUUACGAAAAAAAGAAAGGAUUGGUUUAAACGUAAAGAAUCAUAUCAAAGUAAUGAGAAAAUUCGACCGACUACUCCAUUUUCGACGACGACGGAUUGGGUUACGCCCACCGAAACUUUCGACAUAAUCACUGAAGCAUUUAUAACAACGCCUGAGGAAGCUGAAGGUGAACACAAAAUUGAAGAAUGUGGGCCCGGUGAAAGUGCUUACAGCGAAAGUGACCUGAAAUCAAUCAUCAAUCAUAAGGAAUUAGAUAUGAAUAUUCAAAAAUCCUUGAAUGACAGCAACUUCCGUAACACAUCAAUUAUACUGAAAAGUUUUCAAGAAAAAUACAAAGUCAUCGAAGAUAGAUUUGAAAAUAGUCCUCGUCAUUUGAUUCAUAUUUUGGAUGACAUGGUACAGGGGCGAGCUAAACUUGAACCUUUGGUUAACAAAACUGUACUUUUAUUGAAACAGUUUCCUUCGUUAGAACGGGAUUUCAAUGCUGCACUAAACGAAACGAAUAAGUAUAUUUCCAAUUUAGGGAAAUUAAAGAUUUUGUGUGAAUCGAACUGUGAAUUGACAGGAGUUCAAAACAGAAUGCUGAGCAAUAGACAACAGAUCACAAAAGACGAGAAGUUUUACUGUUCUACUUAUAACGAAAUAAAUAAAGUAAUAAUGGAAACGAUGACAGAAUUUCAACCAACAUUUAUCGCUGAAUUGAAUAAAAUACGUGAGGAAAAUGUAAAAAAUAUUGAAGAGAAAAGCACACAGUUUUCAACAAAACUUAAAGAGGCGGCGGUAGAAAGGUUCGGAGUUACAAUGCAUGACAUAUUGGGUCUUCAAGAUAACUAUGUCCACUUUUCGAAUUAUAUUCAAGAUUCUAAAAUAUCUGAUGAGCUACAACUAAUAAAACAAAAUAAUUUUCAUAUUAAUUCCAAAUUAGUCGACCUAGAUAAAAUGGUAACUAAAUACAGAGACUACUGUCUUCAUUGUCACGAAAACCAUAUUAUCAGGCGAGCUGCCUUCAAGAUUGGCCCUAUACCCGACGUGAAUAAUUUAAACGAUAAACCAAAUACCGAACCUCCUAAAAAAAUUAUUGAAAAACUGCUACAUCAGAAAAUCUUAGAGAUAGAAGAUGUGAUCAAAGGACAGGACGAAGAAAAUUUUAAAUCCAUUUUUAAAUUAUUGGAUGACGAAAAAACUGUUGAAAAUUACUUAGCCAAAUUACAGCCGCUAAAGGAAAAUGUGGCUUAUAAAGUACAAAGAGAAAUUGAAAUUUUGGAUUCGCUACAGAAUGAAGUACCGAAGUCUUCUAUUGACAACGUAUCUGCGCUGACGGAAAAAACAAAAGAAACUUUGAAAAUUAUAGACGACGCCUUGGAAUUCAUUAGGACUAGCAUCAAAUAAUUUGAUAAAAAAGUAACGGAUGAAAGGCUUGUAAUUAUAAAUUAAGUGAUUUUUUUUAUUAAGAAAGCCAUUUCUAAGCCUUAUAAUAUUUGUAAAACUUAAAUUAAAAAGUCAUAAUAAACUUCUAAAAUUCUUGCAAAAUUAUAA